GACGGAGGGUGCAAGCGUUGUUCGGAAUCACUGGGCGUAAAGCGCGUGUAGGCGGUUCGAUAAGUCGGACGUGAAAGCCCGGGGCUUAACCCCGGAAGGGCAUCCGAAACUGUCGAGCUUGAGUACGGGAGAGGGAAGCGGAAUUCCUGGUGUAGAGGUGAAAUUCGUAGAUAUCAGGAGGAACACCGGUGGCGAAGGCGGCUUCCUGGACCGAUACUGACGCUGAGACCCGUAACCGCGGGCAUCAAACCGCAUCAGAUGCCCGCGUAGUCC
rnacentral:rRNA from 1 species